rnacentral:rRNA from 1 species
CUAUACUUGCAAGUCGAGCGGACAGAAGGGAGCUUGCUCCCGGAUGUAGCGGCGGACGGGUGAGUAACACGUGGGUAACUGCCUGUAAGACUGGGAUAACUCCGGGAAACCGGAGCUAAUACCGGAUAGUUCCCUGAACCGCAUGGUUCAAGGAUGAAAGACGGUUUCGGCUGUCACUUACAGAUGGACCGCGGCGCAUAGCUAGUUGGUGAGGUAACGGCUCACCAAGGCGACGAUGCGUAGCCGACCUGAGAGGGUGAUCGGCCACACUGGGACUGAGACACGGCCCAGACUCCUACGGGAGGCAGCAGUAGGGAAUCUUCCGCAAUGGACGAAAGUCUGACGGAGCAACGCCGCGUGAGUGAUGAAGGUUUCGGAUCGUAAAGCUCUGUUGUUAGGGAAGAACAAGUGCAAGAGUAACUGCUUGCACCUUGACGGUACCUAACCAGAAAGCCACGGCUAACUACGUGCCAGCAGCCGCGGUAAUACGUAGGUGGCAGCGUUGUCCGGAAUUAUUGGGCGUAAAGGGCUCGCAGGCGGUUUCUUAAGUCUGAUGUGAAAGCCCCCGGCUCAACCGGGGAGGGUCAUUGGAAACUGGGAAACUUGAGUGCAGAAGAGGAGAGUGGAAUUCCACGUGUAGCGGUGAAAUGCGUAGAGAUGUGGAGGAACACCAGUGGCGAAGGCGACUCUCUGGUCUGUAACUGACGCUGAGGAGCGAAAGCGUGGGGAGCGAACAGGAUUAGAUACCCUGGUAGUCCACGCCGUAAACGAUGAGUGCUAAGUGUUAGGGGGUUUCCGCCCCUUAGUGCUGCAGCUAACGCAUUAAGCACUCCGCCUGGGGAGUACGGUCGCAAGACUGAAACUCAAAGGAAUUGACGGGGGCCCGCACAAGCGGUGGAGCAUGUGGUUUAAUUCGAAGCAACGCGAAGAACCUUACCAGGUCUUGACAUCCUCUGACAACCCUAGAGAUAGGGCUUUCCCUUCGGGGACAGAGUGACAG